rnacentral:rRNA from 1 species
GGUGCUGACGAGUGGCGAACGGGUGAGUAAUGUAUCGGAACGUGCCCAGUCGUGGGGGAUAACGCAGCGAAAGCUGCGCUAAUACCGCAUACGAUCUAUGGAUGAAAGCGGGGGACCGUAAGGCCUCGCGCGAUUGGAGCGGCCGAUAUCAGAUUAGGUAGUUGGUGGGGUAAAGGCUCACCAAGCCAACGAUCUGUAGCUGGUCUGAGAGGACGACCAGCCACACUGGGACUGAGACACGGCCCAGACUCCUACGGGAGGCAGCAGUGGGGAAUUUUGGACAAUGGGCGCAAGCCUGAUCCAGCAAUGCCGCGUGCAGGAAGAAGGCCUUCGGGUUGUAAACUGCUUUUGUACGGAACGAAACGGUCCUGGUUAAUACCUGGGGCUAAUGACGGUACCGUAAGAAUAAGCACCGGCUAACUACGUGCCAGCAGCCGCGGUAAUACGUAGGGUGCAAGCGUUAAUCGGAAUUACUGGGCGUAAAGCGUGCGCAGGCGGUUUUGUAAGACAGGCGUGAAAUCCCCGGGCUUAACCUGGGAAUGGCGUUUGUGACUGCAAAGCUGGAGUGCGGCAGAGGGGGGAUGGAAUUCCGCGUGUAGCAGUGAAAUGCGUAG